GGCGCGUUCGUCUAGCGGCCUAGGACACAUGGUUCUCAUCCAUGAAAUCACGGGUUCAACUCCCGUACGCGCUACUA
rnacentral:tRNA from 1 species